rnacentral:rRNA from 1 species
CUGCCUCGCACUUCGGGAUAAGCCUGGGAAACUGGGUCUAAUACCGGAUAUGACCUGCUGUCGCAUGGCGGUGGGUGGAAAGAUUUAUCGGUGCGAGAUGGGCCCGCGGCCUAUCAGCUUGUUGGUGGGGUAAUGGCCUACCAAGGCGACGACGGGUAGCCGGCCUGAGAGGGCGACCGGCCACACUGGGACUGAGACACGGCCCAGACUCCUACGGGAGGCAGCAGUGGGGAAUAUUGCACAAUGGGCGAAAGCCUGAUGCAGCGACGCCGCGUGAGGGAUGACGGCCUUCGGGUUGUAAACCUCUUUCGACAGGGACGAAGCGUGAGUGACGGUACCUGUAGAAGAAGCACCGGCCAACUACGUGCCAGCAGCCGCGGUAAUACGUAGGGUGCGAGCGUUGUCCGGAAUUACUGGGCGUAAAGAGCUUGUAGGCGGUUUGUCGCGUCGUCCGUGAAAACUUGGGGCUCAACCCCAAGCUUGCGGGCGAUACGGGCAGACUUGAGUACUGCAGGGGAGACUGGAAUUCCUGGUGUAGCGGUGAAAUGCGCAGAUAUCAGGAGGAACACCGGUGGCGAAGGCGGGUCUCUGGGCAGUAACUGACGCUGAGAAGCGAAAGCGU